UCAAGCUGUAAAGGGCGCAAGGGGAAUGCCUUGGCACUGAGAGCCGACGAAGGACGCGACAAGCUGCGAUAAGCUACGGGGAGCCGCAAAUGGGCUUUGAUCCGUAGAUUUCCGAAUGGGGAAACCCGGCAGAGCAAUACUCUGUCAACGUACACUGAAUACAUAGGUGUACGUGGGGAACCGCCUGAACUGAAACAUCUAAGUAGGGCGAGGAAGAGAAAUCAACCGAGAUUCCGCUAGUAGUGGCGAGCGAACGCGGAAGAGGCCAAACCGGAGGUAGCAAUAUUUCCGGGGUUAGGACUGCAAUAUGUAACUUUAAUCUUUAACUGAAUGCUUUGGGAAGAGCAGCGAUACAGGGUGACAGCCCCGUAAGUGAAAAGGAUUGAGUGCUAGCAGUAUCCAGAGUACCAGCGGACACGUGAAACCCGCUGGGAAGAUGGGGGGACCAUCCUCCAAGCCUAAAUACUACUCAGUGACCGAUAGUGGAGCAGUACCGUGAGGGAAAGGUGAAAAGUACCCCGGGAGGGGAGUGAAAGAGAACCUGAAACCUUGUGCCUACAAGCACCGAGAGCACGUUAAAGUGUGAUCGGGUACUUUUUGUAGAACGGUCCGGCGAGUUAAUAUUUGCAGCGAGGUUAAGUAACUGGAGUUACGGAGCCGCAGCGAGAGCGAGUCUGAAUAGGGCGUAUGAAGUUGCAGGUAUUAGACCCGAAACCGGGUGACCUAUCCAUGAGCAGGCUGAAGCGGUGGUAAGACACCGUGGAGGGCCGCACCCACGUCUGUUGAAAAAGCCGGGGAUGACUUGUGGAUAGCGGAGAAAUUCCAAUCGAACUCGGAGAUAGCUGGUUCUCCCCGAAAUAGCUUUAGGGCUAGCGUUAUUUUAGAUUACCGGAGGUAAAGCACUGAAUGGUCUAGGGGCCGCGAGGUUACCAAAGCCUAUCAAACUCUGAAUGCCGGAUAAUUGAUGAAUAGCAGUCAGACUGUGUGAGAUAAGUCUCAUAGUCAAAAGGGAAACAGCCCAGAUCUACAGCUAAGGUCCCAAAUGAACACUAAGUGGAAAAUGAUGUGAAACUGCGAAGACAACCAGGAUGUUGGCUUAGAAGCAGCCACUCAUUCAAAGAGUGCGUAAUAGCUCACUGGUCGAGUGGUUUUGCGCAGAAAAUGUAACGGGGCUAAGUGUUCAACCGAAGCUUAGGCAUUGCAGUAAUGCAUUGGGUAGGGGAGCGUCGUAUGCGGGGCGAAGUCAGAGCGGAAGCACUGGUGGACUGCAUACGAGUGAGAAUGCCGGAAUAAGUAGCGAGAAUUAUGUGAGAAUCAUAAUGGCCGAAAAUCUAAGGUUUCCUGGGGAAGGUUCGUCCGCCCAGGGUUAGUCGGGAGCUAAGCUCAGGCCGAAAGGCGUAGGCGAUGCACAUACGGUAGAAAUUCCGUAACCACCGAACUUUAAGCUAGAGGGACGCUUUCUUUAAGGUUAUCCCGGGCGAUGGUUGCCCCGGGCGUAAGGGACCGAAAUUUAGUAGGGAAGUAACUGGCGAGAGAGACGAGAAAAGCUCUAGUGUAUACUAAGGUGCCCGUACCGCAAACCGACACAGGUAGAAGGGAUGAGUAUUCUAAGGCCAACGGGAGAAGGGUUGUUAAGGAACUCGGCAAAUUGGCCCCGUAACUUCGGGAUAAGGGGCGCCUGCGAGAGCAGGCCGCAGUGAAAAGGCCCAAGCGACUGUUUAGCAAAAACACAGCUCUCUGCUAAAUCGAAAGAUGACGUAUAGGGGGUGACGCCUGCCCGGUGCUGGAAGGUUAAGGGGAGUGCUUAGCGCAAGCGAAGGUGCGAACUUAAGCCCCAGUAAACGGCGGCCGUAACUAUAACGGUCCUAAGGUAGCGAAAUUCCUUGUCAGGUAAG
rnacentral:rRNA from 1 species